AGGGGUAACAUAGAGAAGCUUGCUUUUCUGAUGACGACCGGCGCACGGGUGCGUAACGCGUAUGCAACCUACCUCUUACUGGGGUAUAGCCCGGAGAAAUCCGGAUUAAUCCCCCAUAGUAUUGUACUUUCGCAUGUUAGUACAAUUAAAGGUUACGGUAAGAGAUGGGCAUGCGUCCCAUUAGCUAGAUGGUAAGGUAACGGCUUACCAUGGCAACGAUAGGUAGGGGCCCUGAGAGGGGGAUCCCCCACACUGGUACUGAGACACGGACCAGACUCCUACGGGAGGCAGCAGUGAGGAAUAUUGGACAAUGGAGGCAACUCUGAUCCAGCCAUGCCGCGUGCAGGAAGACUGCCCUAUGGGUUGUAAACUGCUUUUAUACAGGAAGAAACAUCUCUACGUGUAGAGACUUGACGGUACUGUAAGAAUAAGGAUCGGCUAACUCCGUGCCAGCAGCCGCGGUAAUACGGAGGAUCCAAGCGUUAUCCGGAAUCAUUGGGUUUAAAGGGUCCGUAGGUGGAUAAUUAAGUCAGAGGUGAAAGUUUGCGGCUCAACCGUAAAAUUGCCUUUGAUACUGGUUAUCUUGAAUUAUUAUGAAGUAGUUAGAAUAUGUAGUGUAGCGGUGAAAUGCAUAGAUAUUACAUAGAAUACCAAUUGCGAAGGCAGAUUACUAAUAAUCAAUUGACACUGAUGGACGAAAGCGUAGGUAGCGAACGGGAUUAGAUACCCCGGUAGUCUACGCCGUAAACGAUGGAUACUAGCUGUUGGACUUCGGUUCAGUGGCUAAGCGAAAGUGAUAAGUAUCCCACCUGGGGAGUACGUUCGCAAGAAUGAAACUCAAAGGAAUUGACGGGGGCCCGCACAAGCGGUGGAGCAUGUGGUUUAAUUCGAUGAUAC
rnacentral:rRNA from 1 species